GACGAACGCUGGCGGCGUGCUUAACACAUGCAAGUCGAACGGAAAGGCCCUGCUUUUGUGGGGUGCUCGAGUGGCGAACGGGUGAGUAACACGUGAGUAACCUGCCCUUGACUUUGGGAUAACUUCAGGAAACUGGGGCUAAUACCGGAUAGGAGCUCCUGCUGCAUGGUGGGGGUUGGAAAGUUUCGGCGGUUGGGGAUGGACUCGCGGCUUAUCAGCUUGUUGGUGGGGUAGUGGCUUACCAAGGCUUUGACGGGUAGCCGGCCUGAGAGGGUGACCGGCCACAUUGGGACUGGGAUACGGCCCGGACUCCUACUGGAGGCAGCAGUGGGGAAUAUUGCACAAUGGGCGGAAGCCGGAUGCAGCAACGCCGCGUGCGAGAUGACGGCCGUCGGGUUGUAAACCGCUUUCGCCUGUGACGAAGCGUGAGUGACGGUAAUGGGUAAAGAAGCACCGGCUAACUACGUG
rnacentral:rRNA from 1 species